ensembl:snoRNA SNORD14 Small nucleolar RNA SNORD14
UCGCUGUGAUGAAUUUGAUUCCAAAGCCAUUCGUAGUUUCCACCAGAUGUCGCAAGACUUAUGAUGGUUUAUUACCUUCCUUGGAUGUCUGAGCGA